UGUGUGUGUGUGAGAGAGAAUGAUGCAGUCAGGAGAUGAAAAAUGUGAACUCAAGAGGACAGAAAGAUAAUCAAAAGUUCCCCCGGCCUGAGAGAAAAAUGUCUUUUUGUUUGUCAACCUUCUAAAGUUUCAGGCCUUAAACACGGAGUUACUGUGGCAACAUGCUGAAGCAGCUCUCAGACACCGGUAACAGUGACAAAUAACCAUCAAACACACCUACAGGCGGGCUCAAAACUUUUCAUCCAACCACUGUCAUUACAUAUCAACAAUAAAAGGCCAAAAACUACUACAGAUAAUCUGGCACACAAAUUGCACAAAAACUGAUAAGAUUCAAAUUGGCACCAAAAAAAAAAAAAUCUGCAGCUCUCCGACCGCUGGAUCAGAGGUCAACUGAGAAAGUGACGCUGACCUCUUGACCCUGAGCACCUCAGCCUGACAGACUCCAGCGGCUCAGUCAGCGGAAUCAUUCUGAUCUUUACCAAAAUUCAGAAAAAACUCUUAUUUGACCUUUUGUGUCAGCUAAAAAAAUAAAUAAAUACAAUUUCUCCAGAAAAAAUUGCAGUCCGUUAACUGCAGGAAAGAGUGUACAUGUAACGUGGUUUUUAAGGCAGCGGGUUUAGAGGUAUUUCAGGGGAAAAUGCACUGAGACAGAAAAGUGCUGCACUUCAUCAGGCCGCCAAGAUUGGCUUCUCAACGCCAAAACACCGUGACAGCGGCAGAUCUACGUAGAUCAGCCUGGGAGCUUUUUCAUUUCAGUUAAAAGUGAAGUCAAACAUGGUCCAAGACCGAAGACUUGAUUGGCGCAAAACAUUUCUAAUUGAAUCGGCGGCAUAUCGCUGAUUUGGGGGAAAAAAGACCGAAAUAUUUAAAAUAGACCUUUUUUAAGUAAACUUGACAUAGCAAAAGAGGUGGUGACAAAUGUUUAAAAAAGUCUCUAAAUAUGGGUCGAGCC